CUACGGCAUUUCCACAGAGCAAUAAGAAAUGCAAAUGCUCUCCAUCUGUUUGUCAGAUGUCAACCUCAAUUAAACCCUGCACACGGAUUUUCCAAGGGCAUGACUUGCUAAGAAUCCAAAAGGUGGAGAAAAUUGUGGUGUAAAGACGCAACGAGUCUCCUUCAUCUCCUCUUUCUGCUGGUUCAUUGUUUUUAGGUGCUCCUCUACUGAUUCGUGACCCACUUCGUU
rnacentral:lncRNA from 1 species